ACAACAAGAACAAAAAAACGCGACACACCAAUAAAAACAAGAUGUACGGCUCUGACAUAACAAGAACAACACGCACAGAGGCGCAGCCAACAGAUUUUUUUGGAGUCGAUAGUUUUCCGGGGCUUUGUCCUCGCAACCCGUCAAAGAACAACAAGACUGCCCAAGGCAGCUGCCCGACUGGUUGGAUCGUUUGAUGAAAGCUGAUCAGCGCUCAAAAAAAUACGUUUGCUCUUGAUCCCGUAUGGGGAUCGCCAAAGCGGUAACGGGUACGGUCACCAAAAACAACAACAGGCCACCCGAACAAUAAAAAGAGCAUACCAAGAAACCUUGAAGGGGAGCCCAGGCUCCCCUUCGUGCUAUGUGCGGUACAGCCACUGCCCAU
rnacentral:sRNA from 1 species